AUAACCACAGCUUGGAUAGAAAUACGAACCAGAAAUGACAUCAUUAUAAUAUUACCAUUGCAAAUAAGCAGAACGAAAGGUGACAACAAAGAUGCCUAAUAGUUGGCUUUAAAUAGUGAGGAACAUCCAAGGUCACCUAGAAUGCGGCAUAUAGCUCAAAAGUUUACACCAAAAGGGAUUUUAUAUCACUAAGUUCAAAUAAAUAUUUUAAAUGACACGACUAGGCUUUAUUGUUCCAAUAAUUAUCACCUAGAACAGACUUGUAUCUUUAUGUGGUCUUGGCUUUUGGUCCAGAUGGAAGCAACUGCAAACCAGAAAGCAGAAAUCCAUCAGUAAACAAACUAUAACCCCAUCCAAAUUUUGGAUAGCUUCAACCAAUGAAAAUCCCAAUAAAAUCUUCUAAAGCCCAACCUAUAGUAUAUACGUAUAUAUACCUGAUAGCAAGAAAUUAAAGAGGUAAUAAAUCCAAAGGCUCCUGUUACACGAGGGGUAACUUUCUUGGGUGCCAAUUGAAGUAGUCCAACUGCAACUACGAUAUCCAGGGCUGCCUUGACCAAGGCCAGUGAUCUCUCAUUCGAUUUUUGAAGUUUAGCACGGUAUUGUUCAUUUUGAUAUUUAUCACUGUUCUUAAGCUCCUUCACUAGCUUCUUCAUUGAUGCAGAAAGCCUUCCAAGCUCUCCAAUCUGAUGUAAAAAGAAUGGAGCACAUCGUAAAAACCAUGCAAAGGCUUCUCCUUUCUUCUUUCUUCAUCUCUCUCUCUCUUUUUAAUUUUUCUUUAUGAAAAGAUGAGGCAUGCAGGGAGGGUUAGGGAUGAUGGAAUAUAAACAGUUGAAGUCAGUUUUCACGGGAAAAAAAUUAAAAAAAGAAGAAGAAGAGAGAGAAGUUACAAACCUCCACCAAGGUAGAGCAGACUGAGGAUCCCAUCCAACAGUAGAGAGAUAUCUGGCCAAUUAGCUCAGCGUGUUCUUUAUCCUUGUAGAUGCCAGAUCUGCCAAGCCAGACGAUUUGAUCAAGAAAUAAGAAUGUUGACAAUAAAGCAUUUUUUGACUUUCCCAAAAAAACAAGAGGAAGGGGAGUUUCUUGAGGGACAGGGCUAAUAAGACCAUGCAGAUCGUUGACAAACUUAAGAAGUCGGAAAACUUUCCGGGCCAAGCUGGUUGAUUUAUCAACAUUCUGAGCCGUACCAGGCUGUCCAUUACUCAAGAAUUUUGAACCAUAUUGAAUUGCCCUACAGAUCUUGUCUCUAGCUUCAGCCUGGUUCAGAUACAAGACUAAUAAACCAAGUUCUGCUCUAGUUGCCUCCAAGGAACUCAUUUUUUAUCCUGAAAACAACUGUUAUAGUCAACAUAGCAGUUGUUGAUUAACCCAAGAAGCAUCAGAGAAUAACAAUAAAAUAAGGAAAAACAAUGCUUGAAUAUCAAAGACAGACAAAUUGAUCAACCAAACUAAAAUUUUCUGCUUUAAGAAAGAAAUUGUGGGGCCUUCUCUCCCCUUGGUUUCUGGAGGGGGAGAGGUGGAAUACUCCAAACAGAAUUUCUCCCCUGAGCAUUUGUAUGAAACUAAAACAAGUGAAAUCAUAAAAAUUUUGGAAUUUAACAUGAAUAAUGCAAAAGUUAUUGUAGUUGUUCCACUAGGCCUCUUUGCCAUGAUAGUUGACCUUAAUCGUUUAGGCUUAUUCAAUUCAUUUGUGAGCGACUGAGGUUAAUCCCCAUAAGAACUGAAAUUUUCUAUUUUGCUUUUAGGAAGUUGUGGCCAGGACGCACUCCUAAUCCUCAAAACAACACAAGUUCCCGGCAUUGUUACUAUGCGAAACUACCCAAAAUAUGCUCAACUAAAACAGAAAACCAGUAGAAAAUCAGCAGAUAUAUGAAACACUAAAAAUUUUCUGAAACUGCAAACAAAAUGGCAAAAUUUUACAAAAAAUUAAGUAUUGGGUAUUGGGCUGCUAAGAAAGGCUGAAGAGAUAACAGUCAAAAGAGAUUCAAAAUCGCGAUGUAUCUCAUUGACCUGAUAAAAACAAAUCAUUCCACCCAGCUGAGCCUAUUUCUAAAGCUCAUUUAAGUUUGCCAAAUUUACUUUUUAACCAUAUAAAAUCCUCUGGUUUUCCUCUUCGUUUAGCCAGCAAGAAAAAAGAGAAUACCACCACCAUUAAAAAAAAAAAGCAGGAAUCAAACAACAAAAUUCUAAUCAUGAAAAUUCAUAUCCACAAUCCACUAUAAGCAAGAAAAACUAGAAAGAUUACGAGAUUAUAAAAGAAAUAAACAAAAAAAUUACUAAAAUAGAACAAACUUGGAAAACCCAAUUAGCUGCAAGAUUAAUCACGUACUCCAAUUCCACGAGAACAAAAGAUAAGAAACGUCAGACAACAUCAAAUAAACACCAACAUAUAUACCUCAAAGAGAUUAGAUCAGCAAUCAAAAAGGUUAGGGAUUGAAAAUUGAAUACACGAACAGAGAGAGAGAAAGAGAGUACAAAAGUACCGAAUGGAGUGCCCAAUGAAUUUAGCCUCGAAAACCACAAUUGGCCUUUUUCUUCGCUUUCUCUCUCCGUAUAAAAAAAAUCUACAACACCAGAGUCAGCAAUCACAGUCUGUUUUUGCUUCCCUGUAGAGCUAAUAACGAUAGGCCCCUAAUAAGGGCUCGUUUGGCUCUCGCUUUCUUUCAACUCUAAACAACAGAACACUUAGGUUUCGUGUAGC
rnacentral:misc_RNA from 1 species